rnacentral:lncRNA from 1 species
UCAAACAGGGGCGACCUGACACACAAAACAAACAACAUAGGAUGGCUCAAUUAAGGAAUGUGGGAAUUCUUGUUGUAAUAAUUGUGGCUGCAGUGUUACUAAAGACCACAGAAGCUGAAGAUUACGAGGUGGGGGGUACCACAGGUUGGACAAGCUUUCCUCCAGGAGGUGCCUCUUUCUAUUCCAGAUGGGCUUCAAAUUUUACCUUCAAAGUAAAUGACACUCUAGGUAAGUAAGUAUCUACGUGUACAGCAAACAACCUUGUUGCUCCUUAAGAAAGUCAAAACCAAAAAAUUCUGUUGUUUAAAUUCAUAAUUCUCUAUUUCAUGUUACUUUGAGAAUAUACUAAGCUAUUCCAAUAUGAUCAUGAAGCAUUGAAGCUAAAUAUUUAAUUUUUCUUAUCACUUUGUAUGAUGAUGUUUGUGAUGGCACCCUUCUUUUGCAGUGUUCAACUUCGAGUCUGGAAGUCACAGUGUGGUGGAAGUUACCAAGGCUAACUAUGAAAACUGUGGAGUCGACGACAAUAUCAAAUCCUUUAAUAGAGGACCAGCUAGAGUCAGCCUUACAGGCCCAGGGGAAUUCUACUAUUCCUGCCCCUUCUCAGGCCACUGCAGCAGUGGCCAAAAGCUAAGCGUUAUAGUCACUGACUCUUCUUCACCAGCACCAAAGAAAACUCCAACUCAAGGUCCUUCCACUUCUCCUCCUGCACCAAAGAGUGCUACAGUUGAAGGUCCUUCACCUUCUCCUUCUGCAUCUGGUUCAGUUCCUAGUUCAAAUCCCACUAAAACAGCCCCAGCACCCCAAACUGAUUCAUCUGCUACAGCCUCUCCACCACAGGGCUCAGCGACCACUCUCUCUUCUACCUUCUCUCUAUUCAUCUUCACCAUAUUCAUCAAUUUCCUGUCUCAAUUUUAAGACACUUAUUGUUAUCUGUGUGGUAUCAGUAGCAAUAUAUUACCUUAAACCCUAAAUAUAUUAUCAAUACUCUCUCUUUCCAAAAUAUUUUCUUUAUAUAUAGAAAUUCAUGUGAAUCUUGUUAACUUAAAGAACGAGACAUGCAUAUAUGAUUCACAUGAACUUCGUGAAAAUAAAGAGAAUGUUUCAGAAAUAGGAUAUUGGAGAAUUCCUACAAUCAUGAUACACUAUUCCGUAGUGUAUUUCAUUAAGCAUAUUAGAUUUCCAAAAUUUUGGCUUGUGAUAAGAUUCUUCAAAAAUAUUGUUUCAUUGAUUUUCCAUGCGGAUUGAAUUGAGAUGAUUGUGAUUGAAUAAACAACUAUUCUAUUGUGGGUUUUACCGAUUCAGUUUCUUUUAUUUAUGUGUAACAUGUUGUUCCACCAAUGUCUUACUUUUUCUGCUAAUGAAAAUUUUAGCUGAGGUUGCGUUUUAACAAUUGGGUUUAAUGUAUAAUAUGGAACGUGUGAACGUGUCAUGUUCAAAAAUUAUACACCAGAGAUGGCGAGAUUUGUCAACUAGUAUAUCUAUACAUAUAUAUAUAUAUAUAUAUAUAUAUAUAUAUAUAUAUAUAUAUAUAUUGAUAUUUUGACUUUGAGCUUUUACAAGUUAUAAACAGAAAUCUGAGGUGUAGAAGAAUCACAUGCAGGAUGCAAAAGUUUUAAUGUAAUUUGUUGCGGUACGAUGUGAGUGGGGUGCCUUCCAAUAAUUUAAAUUUGUACUAUAUCCCUUCCAAAAUCAUCUUAAUUUUAGCAAUAUAAAAAGUUUAAAAAUUUACUAUGUCAUGUUCCAAUAAGGUAUUUUUUAAUAUGAUCUUAAAUUAAUUAUUUUCUCUUUUUUAUUUGAAAUAAUACAUUUAUGAAACAAAUAAGGAUUUUAUGUAAAAUUGUUUUAAAAAGUUAUUGUUUUUUUACGUGUAGAACGGAAAUGCCUUCUUUGAUGUGUUGGUGCGUGAUUCAAAAAGAUUAAACUUCAUGCAUUAAUAAUUAAGACAAAAAGGAAUGACUUAAUUUUUUAUAAUUAAAAGGAAUGAGUUAUUUAUUACCAUUAGAAGUUAUAUUUGGGUUUAAGUUCAUGUAUUUUAUAUGGUGCGAGUAUAAAAAAUUUGAACAGUGUUAAUGAAUUUUAUAUUAUUUGUAUUUUUUUUCAUGUAUUUUAGUGUGUAAUAUAAUUUUUAUUUAGUCUUAAACUUUUAAAUUUUUAUUUAGAUGUUGGUUAGAUUUAAUUUUUUUAAUACUUAAAUGUCUUAAAUAAUUAUAUUUUAUAUAGUUUGUGGAUUUUGUGGAACUUGUCAUAAAUGAAAUUUAAUUUAAAAUAUACGCUUUUUCAAUAUAGCUUUUCUACUUUGAGUUUUGACCCCUCUUCCAUUUUAGAGUUAGAUGUGUUUUUGGUAUGAUUUUUAUUAGAACUAGCGGGAAGACAGGGACUCACGUGUCUGUGUAUCCGCAUUUUUCAUUUUUAUUAUUUAUAUAUUCAUAUAAUUUUAAUAAAUAUUAAAUUAUAUGAAAAGAUAUGUAAAUUAUCUAAAUGCACCAUUGAUAAUAGUUUUAUUAAGAUUUUAUGUUAAUUUUUUUAUAUUUUCAUUUUAUUGUUUUUGAAUAUUAAAUUUUGAUUUAAUUUGGGUGUAAUCUUGAACUUUGUAAGGUUAUCAAGAUUAAAAUUAAGGUUUAAAAAAAAUGGACCAGCAAACAAUGUCAAAACAUAAUGCAAAUGGUUGUAUGUUGGAAGUGGUAGAAUAUGUCACCAUAUCAAUUGAAUCCACAGCUUCCAUGGCAAAAAAGUUGAAAAAAAUAAAAUAAUAAUCUAAAUACAAAUUACCAAACUUCCAACUUAUGUAAUAUCUAAUAGAUCAAAGCAUCAGUAGACAUAAAAACUUUGUUUGCAAAGCUGAGCUUAGGAUUCAUACAAAAAUAUAAAAAAAAAUUAAGAAAGCAAUAAAAACAAAAAUGUACAAAUCCUAUAACAAUGAGACACGUCUCUGCUUCGAACGUUUUGAGAAGUGCGAGAAGGAGGAAGCAAUGGUGGUUGUUGUACAGUGGUGAUUGAAGAGGGACUAAGAUGGGUGAGAGUAGGAGAAGAACAUGGAGCAUGAAGGAAGAGGGUUCAAAAUGUGUCAAAAUUUAUGAGCAUUUUUUUCUUUGGAUGCAACGGUUGAAAACUACUUCUUAUAAAGAAGUGGAAGAAAGUGGUAACCGCUCAACUACUUCUUAUAAGGGAGUGGAUGUAACUAUUGAAAACUACUCUUUCGUAAGAAAGUGAAGGUAAAUGGUUUUCAAAUAUUUUAUUAAAUUUAUUUCUCUCUCAUGCAACAGACACUCUCAUUAUGCAAUUAAUUUUCAAAAUAAAUUAUCUCUUUCAAUUCAUAACCACUCAUUCACCUCUCUUUCAAUUCAUAACCGUUCCUCCACCCCUCUUUUAAUUCAUAAUUGUUCCUCCACAUCUCUUUCAAUUCAAAACCGCUUUUCCACCUCUUUUUCAAUUCAAAACCGCCCCACUAUGUAUACCAAAUAUUGUAGAAAAAAUAAGAAAUGGCACAAUGACCAUAAUACAAUAAUAAAAUUAAAUAUUAAUAUAAGGAUAAAAUGAGAAAAAAAUUAAGAGGAGUUAAGAGGGGAAUAAGAAAUGACAUAAUGACCAUAAUACAAUAAUAAAAUUAAAUAUUAAUAUAAAGAUAAAAUAGAAAAAAAAAUUAAAAACGGUUAAGAGGGGAAUCCCCUCUAUAUAUAGGUAUAGUUUAUCCUAUAUUCAGGAGAGAGAGAAACGGUAAGAAUUCAAUUGGAUAUUAUAGAAUAUAUCCAAUUGUUAAAAUGUUAAAAAAGUUCAAUGUUAUUAGUUUUUGGGUCUUUAUUGGGUUCAUCCCUUUUUCUAUGUAUGCCACAUGUUUAGGUAGUGCUUUUUCUUAUAUAUACACUCCUGUUUUUUACUUUACGCAAUGCGCAAUAGUUUUAUGUUUUUUCAGUUUCUCAUUUUUUCUGAAUCUUUCUUCUUUCUCUCUAUUUUCUAAAAUAGUUUUAAAAACUAAAUUGAUUUAAAUAGAAAACAAAUGAAAAUAGAAUUCUCAUUAAAAAAAUGACUUUUUAUACAUCUCAGAUAAGGAUGGUAAUGCGGGCUCAUCCGUCACGUUUGGCCCAUCCGCAUAAAGAAUGCAUGCUCAUUUUAUUAACUUGUUCCUAUAAGAAAAAUAUUUAAAAAAAAAUUCAUUAAUUAUAAAAAAAAUUAUUUCUCUGAAAAGUUAAAAUUUAUCCAUAUUUUAAUUAAAAUAAAAAUAUGAAUUCAUGUAUGAGGAUUGUUAGAAAGUUUGAUUAAAAAUAAUUAAAGUUUUAUUUUACAUAUAUUUUCUGUAUCUAAAUGAAUCUGACUACCUUAUCAAAGUUUUGCUACAAAAUCUUUGAAUGAAUAUGACUAAAUUUUUAAAGAGUAUCUUAUUAGAAUCUCUUCUUUGUUUUUAUUAACAAAUUUUAAAUAGAAGAUUUUAAUUAAAACUAAAUCUAUUCUCACUCUUAAUAUUAACUUUUUUAGAUUAUUAAAAUAAAACAUUUCAUUUUUAAUAAUUUAAAAUUCAAUUUUUUAAAAUAAAGAUGAUAUUGCAAUAAUGAGUGAGUGAAAUAUUAUUUUUUUUUUAAAAAUAAUAAUUAUUUUAUUUAUUUAUUCGGGACAGCGAGUUAACCCGCCCCACUUCGAUGUUGGUCCGUAUAAAUUGUAAAUUAUGUAGAACGAAUUUAAACGGAUCAAUGAAUUAUAAUAAUGAGUUCGUCCUACAUUACCAUCACUAAUCCUAAAUGUAGUACAACCACAAAAUCAGAAGUUAUAAUUUUUUCAAAAAUCAAUUAUUCCCAAAAAUUAAUAGUUUGUAAGAAACAUAUACAAAUGUUAUAUUAACAUGUUUUGACUUUACGUUGAGUGAAUAGACUCAACCAAAGAGUCCGUAAGGAAUGUACUUCUGAUUUGUGAAAAAAACACACUGCAGCGUUUAACAUAAAUGACUGGAAUAGUAAAAUAAAAAGUUCGGACUGACAUAAGGGAUAUUUAGAGAUAAAUUAAAAUGAUGAAGAAGGCUAUCUUUGGAUUGAGGAGAGAAUUUGUGAGGAGGGGAGAGAGUGAAUUUGUGAGGAUUAGAGAUGAUGUGUGAGGAUAUAUGAGAUUGUUUGGAUUGAGGGAUGAUAGAGAGGAUUUGUGAGGAUGAUUUAUUGUAAGUUUACAAAUUUAUCAUUGUUAUUAAAAAUAUUUAAACAAUUAAUUAUGAUUUUUUGUGUGUAUAUUUGAAUUAAUUAUUUUUUUAAUAUAUAAUAUUCAUAAUUACUUAUAUUUUAUAAUAAAAAAUUAAAAAUAUAAUAGAAAAUAUUUUUGUGUUAUAUUGAAAUAAAAUUAUCAAAUAUAUUAAAAUUUAUGAAAAUAAUAUUUAUUAUUAUAUUCAUAUAAUAACUAUAUAUAUUUUAUUAAUAUUAUAAUUUUUUUAUUUUCAUUAUUUAUAAUUGUAGGUUGUUAUUAAUGUAUAAUUAAAUAUUUUUUAAAUUAUAAAUAAAUUUAUGUAAUAUUUAAUUUUGAUAUUGUAAUAAAAUACAUGUUCAAAGAUAUUUUGAUAAAAUACAAUCAUCUUACAGUUAUCCUCACAAAUUUCUUCAUUUUAUGAAGAAUAAAAAAAAUCACUCACUCUCUCCUCCAUCAACUUCCACACGCUCAAAACCCUUAAAACAAAUAAAAAAAAAAAAAAACAUCCCUCCUUCCUCUUCCAUCAAAACAAACACACUCUUAAGUUUUUUUAAUAAGUGGGUGUUUAUUAAGAAAAAAGUGAAACAGUAUUUUGAUGGAGGAAAAUAGGUACAAUGACAUUCUCCACUCUCGUAGAAAACAACAAAUUGGUAUGUUUGAAAGUCUGUGCAGUGUGCUGUACUUCGAAGAUAGUCAGAGUUGGAAUAUGAUAAAGCUUGAACCAUGAAGUUUGACGAAUUCUCAAUCUCAUUCUAAUGUUGACAAAAAAACCUCACCUUCGUCUCACAUUACUUCUCCGUGGGAAGUGGAAACUCCCAUCUUGGAAUUUUCCAUCCAACUUCUGCCUUUUCACUGCCCUUCCUUGCUAUCACUUUAUAAUAAAUUCAACUUUACAACUUGAACGCAACGAAGAAGCAAAAAUAUAUAAAAAAAAUGCUGAGGAAGAAUAAGAUAUUGAGCCCACUUCCAUGGCUCGUGAAGAAAGAAGGAAGCGGAGACUGGUAAACGGUACAAGUCAAAUUGAUUCGGUGAGAUCUGUAAUUGGUAACGCGGCUAUCCCUCCACAAUUUUUUCCUAGUCUCAAAUCUCGGCACCCUCCAACUCUGCCAAAUUCCCACAUCACACUAAUUUUGUUCACCUAACUAAUUAUCUUCACCUCCACCGCCCAAUACACUUCUAUUUUCUUUUUAGGAAUCCAAACUAGAUUAUAUAAUAUAAUUUCGUUAUAAUAUUAAAAAAUUAUGUACUCGUUAUAUUUAAAAGAAAAGUUAUUAAAGUUUUUAUUUUAUUAAAUAAAUAAAUAAAAAUUAUUUAUUAAAAAGUUUAAUGAUUUAAUUAUUCUUUAUUUUUAAACCGUUUUUUUUUCUCAUUUUACAGGUAAUUUUAUUAUAUAGGUAGUUAUUAAAUGAAAAUAUAUCUUAUACUUAACCUGUUAUCUUUUCGAAAAGAAUUAAUCUAACUGUGAUAUAGAUAAUCUUAUCUUAAAUAAUCUUUUUAAUAGGCUAUACAUAAUCUAGUAUAAUCUUAUUACUAAACUAUUAUCUUAAGUGCUCUUCUUAACAGAAAAUAUACAGUCUUUAAGUAAUCUACUUUUAUCUUAAAAAAUCUUUUAGAAAAGUUGUAGGUGUUAUGCUAUAAAUACCAACGUAGAGCAUUGGCCUUAGACAUUGCAACUUCAUCGAGUAGAAAGAGAAAAGAAGAGCACAAAGAUCUAGUCCUACAAACAAACAGGGGCGACUUACCUCCAAGAACACAUAUCCAUGGCAAGAAGCUUGUUCCUUGUGCUAUUUGCAGUAGCCACCCUUCUUCAUGGCUCCGCUGCACAGACCAGACACGUGGUGGGUGAUUCCACUGGCUGGACCAUCCCUUCCGGCGGUGCUGCAACCUACACCACCUGGGCUUCCGACAAAACCUUCACAGUGGGUGACACUCUUGGUACGUUAAUCUUCCAAAUCUUUCUGUUCAUUGGUUUAUUAUUUAUGUGUCAUUAAAUUACAAAUUUAUGAAUUAUAAUUUUUUUAUUAAUGACUUUUGCAGUGUUUAACUUUACCAACGGCCGACACGAUGUGGCUAAGGUGACGAAAUCAGCUUAUGACGCAUGCAACGCUGCCACCACCCUUUUCACCCUUACCUCCGGUCCAGCGAGCGUGGUGUUGAACCAGUCAGGGGAACAAUAUUACAUUUGCUCCUUCGGAACACACUGUUCCCUCGGUCAGAAAUUGACAAUUAACGUUGUUAACAGAAACUCUGCUACUCCUUCCCCUGCCCCUCAACCCAGUAGGAGUGGUUCUCCACCAACGGCUAGCCCUGUCCCCACACCAACACAAGCACCUACACCAGCACCAAGCACUGUGCCAGCACCUGCUCCAGGCCCAUCCUCUGGACCAGUUACUUUCACUGUUGGAGACACCUCAGGCUGGAUCGUUCCUUCUAAUGGUGCUGCAGCUUACACAUCCUGGGCUUCUGGCAAAACCUUCAAGGUUGGAGACAUACUAGGUAAGUCACCAUCCAUCAUUAAAUUAAACACUUACACAUUUUUAAGAGAUUUAUAGUUGGUCAAAACUUGAAUCAAAUAAUUAACCAGAAAACAUCUAUGGUUUGUGUUUUGAAGUGUUCAACUACCAAUCUAACACACACAACGUUGAGGAAGUGACAAAGGAGAAUUUCGAUUCUUGCAACUCAACCUCUCCUCUUAAAACUUACACCACUCCACCUGCCAGAGUGACUCUCACCAAAUCCGGUGCUCACUAUUUCAUCUGUGGCUUUCAAGGGCACUGUCCUGCAGGUCAAAAGCUUGCCAUCAAUGUCACCGGCAACAGCGCCACCUCGCCUUCCCCCAUCGCCACCCCUCCUUCCGCCACCACCACCCCUCCUUCCCCCACCACCAACCCUUCUACGCCUUCUCCUACAGGCUCUCUCGCCCCUCCCCCAUUGAACUCCGGAGCUGCAUCUCUCGGACUUGUUGGAGUUUCUGCCACCCUUCUUUCACUUGCCGCGGCUUUCUUUUAUUAGAGACAUGAGAUUCUUAUAUUAGGAACAUGAGAUUGUAAUUAGGAGUGUUUGGAACUCGCGAUUAUUAUCGCCCUUCCAUUGUUUUUCAUGAAUUCACUUUGUUUAUUUUUUUUAAGGAUGAGAAUAAAGUGAGCUUUCCCUUAAUCCGCUGCAGUUUUGUUUCUUUUUUUUUCCUUUCUUGUUUUAUCCUCUUGAUGACUAAAAUUGUUAGCUAUAUUUGUAAAUUGGAAUUGGAGAUACAUAUAUAUAUUUGAAUGAUGAACAAAUCGAUGACGCCUUUCGCUGUCAAUCUUUUGUUUGGUGGUGCCAAAAUUGGGUUUGAUUAUAGAAUUAUAGGAAGAAAGUUGAUAACUUACCCCGUCUGAAAAAAAUAAAUUAUUUUGAAAACGAAAGUGCUUGCAAAAGAAAGCGUGACACACGGAAGUCAUAAACGAAAGUGCUAGACCCUUUUGUUGUUGUGUAUGUGAAUGUUGGGGUAGACUCACUUCCACUUAAACUAUUAAAUUAUAUUGAACUUUGAAAUAUGGGUUCCCAGUUUCUCAUGUAUGAUUAUAAAUUAGAUUAGAAAAAACCCCACAAGUUUAGGUAUCCUAUGCAGGACCCUAUUAAAUAAAAGUUAUGCAACAUGCCAACAACAUAAUGUUCUGUAUCUAUAAAUUAAAGUAACCAUAACCAUCUUGUUCUAUCUUAAUGAUUUUACUUUUUCAUUAUUUUUUAUAUUUCUUCGUGUCUUUUAUUUUCAUCUCUUUUACUUCUUAUUUUUGUCUUUAUUAACUUACUAAUUUAAAGUUCCAGCAUCACUUAUCUGAUUUAAAUUUCUUUACUUUUACUUCACAAUUUAAUCGUAUAGUCAAAAUUUUAUCUCCUUAUAUAGAGGUGAGUAAAAUUUUACACUUUAUGCGUAGACUUUAUAGAUUAUUCCCUGAAAACGUUAAUGAUUUGAUAAAACUUAGUGAUUACGCAUCACUAAUGCAAAAUAAUUAUGUACUAAUCAAUUAAAUCAACGUAAUUUUUAAUAAGAUUAUGAUAAAAAUGGACAAAUAUACUAUAAGACUAUUAUUACUUAUUAUACUACAAUAAAAACUUGAACAAAAACUUAUUAAUAAAUAUAAAUUUUGUCACUCUUUAUAUAUUAUUUGUCAUUAUUUUUUAUGUUAUAAAAAUAUUAUUUAUAAUAGUUCUAAAAUUAGAAAAUGACACAAUAAUUAUAUUAGAAGUUAAUAUAUAUAUAUAUCCUAAAUAAUUACUAAAAAGUAUUAUAUAAAUGAAAAAAAAAAUCCUAAUAAUAUAAUUAAUAUAAAUUUAUUAAAUAUUUAUAAAUUAAUGUUUAUUUAUUACUAGUCACAAAGUAUUAAUUAUUAUAAUGCUAAAAUAUUUGUGUCACGUAUUCAAAGGAAAAAAUAUUAAAUUAGUAUUAUUGUAUUUUUUUUAUAUAAAGCUUUCAUUUUAGGCAUAUGUAUGCAACUUGACAUAUCAGGUAGGCUGACACCCCAAAUAACAAUAAUCAUUUGUCAUCACAUGAAAAAAUAUUAUUAAAAGAAAAAAGAAAAUACAAAAAAAUAUGGGGGAUUAGACCAAAACCCAUAUGAUUACAAAAACGACAUAUAGGUAAAUUAUACCUAUUCAUAAAGAACUCUAAGAAUAGACUAAAUGAAAGCCUAUUAUACCAAUGAAAUGAGUCUCUAUGAAUAAAUGUUAAGUGAGGCAUUUUAUCCGCACACGCAUUCUCUUCAUGAAAAAUAUAAGUAACCCUAAACCUUAUUUUCCCACAGUAAUUAAGACAAGUGUUCCACCAAUUACGAAGCAUCCACGAAAUCUUAGUACUAGCAGUAAAUGCAUCACUAACCAAGGCAGAAUCACAUUCAAGCCAUACAUUAGUAAGACUCAUCUUUUGAGCUUUCUCCAUAACAUAUAUAACUACAUAAAACUCAACAACCAAAACAGUUUGAACGUCAAUAAACGCAUAAAAACUACCAAUAAACUCCCCCAUACUAGCAAGACCAGGAUAUCCCUAGCCGCACCAUCAAUGUUAAUUUUAACCCAGCCUAGUGAAGGAAACUCUCAUCUAACAGUAAGAGAACGAAGAACUUUACCACUACGAGUAUUAAUAUCAAAAAACUUAAUCACAUUGAAAUCCAACAUAUCCUUUUUCAUUGAAGCUUUAGACUAAUUUCUCAUUAGACACGUGAGAUCUUAUGACCGAAAUAGUCUGAGAAACAUCAAUUUAUCCUAAAAUCUAACAUAAUUCCUCAUACGUCAUAUCAUCCAAAUAGAAAAAACGUUAUCACAACCAACUUAAUCAAUUUAACCAAAGGACUAUCACUCUUAAUAAAAGAAAGAAGAUCAUCCUUAUUAGAGAAAUGAGAAUUAAUAAAAAUCUGGAGAACUCAACUCCAAAUAUGUAAAGCAGUAGAACAUUUGAAAAAUAAAUGUUUAAUAGAUUCUUCCUGCUUUCCACAAAACAAACACAUAGAACACAUAUGCAAAUCUUUAUUCUGAAUGUGCUGAUCUGUAGCCAAUGAAAAAUUUCCAGAGUAUUAGAGUUUUGGAAGGAGGAAUAUAUGAAGACCAAAUGAUUUUACCCCAACCACAGGGAACUCUUGGAUCUAAGAAAAAAGUCCUAGCCGAUUUUAGAGUGAAAUGACCAUACUCAUCUAGAGUCCAAUUAGGAAUAUCAUGUUCCUCCUGAUAAGUGUCUAAUUUCAGUAAUAUUUCAUAUUAAAAUAUAGGCACUUAUGAGGAUUUAUUGCUAAUUUACAUAUAAAAUAAUCUCUAAUUUAUGAAUUUAUACCUUUUUACAUUUUGUAUGAUCUUUAUUUGAAUAAGAGUAUUUUAUUCCCAAAUUUGGUGUUAAUUGCAGAUUUCUAAGGAAGAUUGGAGAUUUGGAUUAAAGAUGAAUGAUUUGAGCCAAAAAGAUAAAGAUAGAAGGUCCCAGAAUGAAAGAAAAAAAGAAAGAAAGAAAGAUUGGGCCUUUUUAUGUUUUAUCAUUUAGCCCAUUAGCGCGACACAAUAAACAACCUAACCCUAGAAAACUAGGAUAAAUAGAGGGCUAGAGGCUCAACCUUAGGGUGCUAGAUUGAGAGGAAAACACCAUAAAGUGAAUUGUAACCCAAUUGGGAGNNNNNNNNNNNNNNNNNNNNNNNNNNNNNNNNNNNNNNNNNNNNNNNNNNNNNNNNNNNNNNNNNNNNNNNNNNNNNNNNNNNNNNNNNNNNNNNNNNNNNNNNCAGUUUCUUGAUUGAUUAUUGGUAUUGUUGCUUUACUUUUAAUUUUUCGUGACAAAUUGAGAAUCUUAAAUAUGACCGGGAGGUAUUUUUAGGGUUCAGACCUAAACAACAAUACUUAACAUAUUUGAGUGCUAGGAAUAGACUUGAAAUGUUAAUUGCUAUUAAACGUCUGAGCUUCGUUCUAAGUUGUUCUUAUAAUUAUGCGAGGGAUCGAUAGUUAGGGGACAUUCUUAAGGAUUUUAUAUGCGAGGAAUCGAUAUAAAUGAUUUUUAUACGGGCAUCAAUUUCAAUUAAAGAACUUAAUAUUAACAUGCUAAUCAAAAUACAUGAGAGUGAGAGAGAUGAAACUUAAUUCCAAUUUUUCCAAUUGAAGCAAUUAAUUCUUUGUUUGUUUUCUUAUUGAUCAGUGCCAACAUAAUCACUUCAAACUCUUUUUUAUUGUUCUGUUGUUAUAUUUAGCGAAUAUUGUACUCGAUGAUUCACUGUUCUUUGUGGGAUCGAUAUCCGUCCUUAGGGACAAUUAUUACUUCUGACAAAUGCGGUGCACUUGCCGUAAAAAGUCAUCACCUCCCUAAUCAUGAUAUUAGUAAAAAGAUGAGGCAUUUGCGGUAAAGACAAGGGAAUAUUUCAAUCAUAACCAAUCCAAAAUUAGGAGACUAUAUCCGGAAUACUAUCACCAUCAGAUAACCCUGCAAUGUUUGAUAAAGAAGUAGUAGAACACCAUUUAUCAUUCCAAAAAUUAAUAAGAGUACCCGUGCCAACAAUCCAGUAAGUAUGAUCAAGAAUGGUUUCAUAAAACUAUUUAAUUUCAUACCAAAUAGAUGAGGAUCUAUAAACCACUAUAAGUUAUAUUUUGAUUUAAGAACUUUGGCUUUCAGGAGAAGAGACCAAGACUUAUUACUAUAAGCAAAAUUCCAAGCAAACUUAAGAAGAUACACAUUAUUUUCAUGAUGGAGAUUAAUAAUCUUCAAACCUUCAUUCUUAAGAGGAGAACAAAUCUUAGCCCAAUUAACUAUUUUUAUGCCUUUUUUUUUUUCGGUAUAUCACUCAUCCAAGUAAAAUUUCUACACUACUGUUUGACUUGCUUAAGAAUUGAAACAUGCCAUUUAUACAUAUUAAAACUAUACGUUAGAAAUCCAGUAAUGACCGUAUUAACCAACUGAAUCUGACCCAUCAUGCUAAAAGAUCUUCCUUUCCAAGAUGCUAACUUCAAUUUGAUUUUAUCAGCCAAAGGCUGUAGAAAAUUGACACUUUGUAAGCCACAUUACCUCCCCUAACCUUUUUAGAAAGCAUGUUAAUAGUUUCAGAAGAAACACUAAUACAAUCUUGAAAAUUGAAAGCCUAUCCGUCAAUAUUUUGUAAAUAAUCUUAAAUUUUAAAUUACCGACAGCAAUUGGCUUGUAAUCUUUAAUGGAAUCAGCACCCUAAAUCUUAGUAAUGAGAGGGGCCACAUUGCUAUCAUUCUAAGAAGAACCCAAUUUUGCUUAAAAAACUGCUGAACAGCUUUGCAAACAUCCGACCCAAUAAUGUCCCAACAAGAAUGAAAGAAAACACCCCCAAAAUCGUUUGGACCAGGAGCACUAUUACCAUUAAGAUUAAAAAAUGCAUUUUUAAUCUUCAAAUAAUUCGGGCAUUUAAUCAACAUAGUAUUCUCCUCAGAGAAAACCAUUUCAGAGAUAUAAGUUCCAAUAAACUCUUCUAUACUACAUGUAGCCUGAUCAUUAGAACUAGACCCAGCAUAAAUAUUUUUAUAAAAAUCCAAGAUAUGAUUCGCAAUGAGUUUAGGAUACUCAAUAACCUCAUUCUCAAUCCUUAGUUUGUGAAUCUCACUAGAAUUAUUUCGCCUCUUUACCACAACAUGAAAAAAAAACAAUAUUUUUAUCCUCAUCUUUAAACUAAAGCAUCUUGGCCCUCUCUUUCCAAAACAAGUAUUGACAAUGAAGAACAUGAUCAAACUCCUCCUUAACAAUCCUUUCUUGACAAAUAAGCCCAUCAAUAUCAAUAUUAUUGUAUAUUUAAAUUUAUUAUCUUUAUUUCUAAGGUAAUAUUAUUUUCAUUUUGUCACAUCACAAUUAAUAUGGAUAAAUAUAAAAGUUUUCACUAUUUUUUAAUUUGUCAAUUUUUUUCUAUUAAUACAUGUCACAAAUAAUUACAUAUUAACAUAAAAUAUCAUAUGAUAAAACUAUUUUUCUUUUGAUAAGAAUAUUAAUAAAAACAUUAUUGAAUGUUUAUAAAUUUAUAAUGAUCAUAUAAUAUUAUUAUUAUAUCAUUAGUAAUUAUUUAUAAAAAGUAAGAAAUUUAUUUUACUUUUUAGAUAAAAAAUUAUUAAUGAGAUAACUAAAUUAUCUAUCUAUUCAUACAUUUGUACUUGUUAUUAUGAUAUUAAUAAAUAACUUAUUAACUUCUUAAAAAUAAUAAACAUAAAUAAUGACAAAAUUAGUUUUACAAAAUGAUAUAAAACAAUACUUAAUAAUUUAUUAUUUUUAUCAAUAACAUUGUUUUCUUUAUCCUCUUUUGAAUCAAUACUUUGAUCAUCAUUUUCUUCCUUGUCGUCAUCAUCAAUAACUUCUAUAGGCAUUAUUGGAUUUUCAUUAGUUGUGAAUUAAGUUAAGUCAUUUAUAUCCAAUGAAAAUUCAUGCUCAUUAUCUGAAGCAUUAGAUACAAAUGAGAUUGAGUCAAUGUAUUUGUUUUCUUGACACACUUCAUUUGAACAUUAAUCUGACAUAUAUUAUACCAAUCUCGUGGCUUUAUUUUCACUACAAUAAGUCAUUAGGGUCUUUGGUGUCCUUAACAUAAUACACUUGUUGAGCUUGAUUAGCUAAGACACAUGACUCAUUAGUCCUCAAUUUAUGCUUAUUAUUAUUAAAAUAAAUCCAUAUUUUUCUUCCUUGUACCCUUCUAAUUCCCUUGGAGUACACAUCACACCAAUCACAUUUAAAUAAAAUAAUAUUAUUUUCUGUAGAAUAAUCUAAUUUAACGAUAUCAGUCAAGACACCAAAGUAAACUAAAUUACUCGUAUUCUCAUCACCUUUUGUUACGAAGUGGACUUUAAGCCUAACUCAACCCCAUAAAACCGGCUCAUAGGAUUGAGGUUUGCACCCACUUAUAUACAAUGAAAGGCUCUAAUCUCUAGUCGAUGUGGGAUCUCCAACACCUUUAACUAAAAUUUCACUAUUUUGUGAUUUCAAAUAUAUAUAUAUAUACAUAUAUAUAUACAUACAUAUAUCAUUUACAUUAAACUUCCAACCAUUUAUUAAAAUUAUAUAUCUUGAAAAACAUUUGAAUCUAGUCCACAAGCUAAGUGAAUCAUGAAUCAUUUAUUCUUAUGUCACUUUCUUUUUUCAAAAGGGCAAACUAUUGAAAAAAAAAAGGUGAAUAUGCUUAAUCUAUAUAAUAAUAAUCAAAGAAAUUAAAUUAAUUCUUACAUACUUUUUUAACCAUUGAAAUUUUUUAUUAAUGUCUUUGUAACAUUUUACGAAAUUUCUUUAUCCAAUUCUUGUUUGUGUUGUCUAAUAAUAAAAUACAUUAUUAUAACGAAACAUAUAGUUACAAUAAUAUAAAUUUUUAAUUUAAUAAAAUCACUUACUCAAUAAAAGGUCUUCAUCACAAUUUUGGAGAACAAAAUUUCUUGUUUGCUCUUAUUUUACUACAUUUAACUCAGCGUAUUUUCUAAUUGCAAUAGUUUUUCAAGUUGUAGAAAUUUUUUAGAUUUGAUUUAUUUAAGUGAUGUAGGUAAUCUUCAUAAUUUCUUCCAUGUUUAUUUAAUAUUGUCUCAAUUUCAUCAAAAUAUCUUUAAGAAAAGUGCACACAUUCUUGUACAAUACAUCCUAUUCGAUAUGAUUUGAUCUUAUGGAAGUACAUUUCAAUUGGAUAUGUCAAACAAUGUUGUACUUGGUCUACAAUGUUUGUCUCAUGUACUAAGUGAAUGGGUAAAUGAACAAUUAUGUCAAAAAAAAAAAGGAAAGAAUGAAUAUUUUCUUUAACUUUUUUUUAGCAAUUGUAAAGUGUCUAAAGUCAAUGUUUUAGACCACAACUCUCUAACCGAACUUAGUUCAAUUAGGGUCUCACAAACUUUCUUUCAAAAUACAUCAUGAAUUGAAAUGGAGGAAAGUGAUAUAAAUAUACAUGACUAUCAUAACAUUUCAUCCUAUAUAUUUUUCCUUCUUAGAUGUUUAAAUCAACUAGAAAAUGACAAAAUAUUUGUUUUUUCUAAGAUAUUAUUGUAUAACAUGCAUAUGAAAAUAUAUAUUUUUCUUAUUGAGUCAUGGUUGUAUGAAACUUUGAACAUAUGAAUAAUAUUAAAUCAGAAGUUUAUAUUAUCUUGUCUUUUUUAAAGAUCCAUCAAUAUUCAUAUUAUGUUGUCAUAUUUUUUUUCAGUAGAUUGUGACAUAAUUUACCUCUCUAGUAAGGCAAUUCAAAAUAUUGUCUUUCUUCCAAUUCUUAAAUAAUUUAAUAUUUUUUUCUCACUUUCUUUUUCGGGUAAACUUAUCAAACGUCACCUGGAUAUAUUUACCAUUAAUACAAGUUUAAAUAUAUAGAUAUUAAUUAAAACAAAUAUGUAAAAAAACAGUAAAAGUUAAUGUAUGAAGAAAGAUAAAAAUAUGGUUACAAUUAAAUGAAAAAAAUACUAAUUGUUAUUUUUUUAAAAUUUACUUAGUUAAUACGUUUUAAAUUAGACAUUAAUUUAAUUUUUAUAUUGAAAAUAUGUCAUUUAUUAAAAUCAUCUCAUAAAGAUAAUAUUUAGAUAUACAAAUUUAUUCAAGAUAACAUAAAAUAAAAAUAAUGUUGUUUUAUCUUUUGCCUGUAUUAGUUUAAAUUCACAUUUAAAAAAAAUAUUAUCUACUACUAAUGUAUAAAUUUUAAAAUGAAUCUAAACAAAUAAGAUAAAAAUAAUAAUAUUCAUGUUCAAAACUUUCACUAUUGCUCAAAGGAUAAGAUUAAUUACCGUGAAUUAAUUUAGUUUAUUUCAAUAUAUUAUAUUAUUUAAUGUUGGAACUUAAAUUUAAAAUAAUUAUUCAAAAUAAAAUUAUUAAUAGUUUAUAAAAUAGAUGCAUCUACUUAAAAUGAUUCUUUUAUUGACGCAUCAUAUGUUUCUACGUCGUUAUUCUAUAAUUCAUUUAAUUUAUUAUGUACAUAAUUAGUAGCUCAUAUAUUUUAUUUCACAUGAUAAAACUACAUCUCUGUCUAUUUUAUCAGCUUGAGAUCACUGUACUAAUAUCAAGUUGUACAAUAAUAAUUAUAAAAAUUAUAUAUUUUUUAGUUUUGUUUAAGUACAGAGUACAAAUAACAAAGACUAUGUGUUGUAAAACUUAUAAAAUAAUAAAGCUAGUAGUUUUAUUUGGCAAGCCUAUAAGUAAUUGUACAAUACCAUACUUAUUGUUUAUGUAAAUAAAUAAACUGUCUCUAAGACUGCUAGCAAAGUAUAGUUUUAUUGGCAGGCUAUACAUUUUUUAGCCCUUAUAUAUAUUCUAUGAGUAUAUAAAUAUACAAUUCUUUUUCGGCUUAACCGUAUUUAUUAUCCGAACUAUAUAAAGUCUUUCACUUUUUAUUUAAAUGAAAACUUUAAUAAAACUAUUUUUAACAUUAUAUUGAAUAAAUUAGUUAAGUAAAACCCAACCUUGUAUAAAAUAAGUAACAUGUAUUGGUUUUUCAACCAAAUGGUGUGAUAUUAUUCUAUUAUUACGCAAAUGAAUAAAUUGUAAAUACAUUCACAUUUAAUAAAGUGUGAUUAGAAACAUGAUUUUGAAAUGAAGAAAUUUUACUUUUAAACAUACACUACAAAAAAAUAAAUAAAUAAAAAUCAAUUUUAUAGAUAAAAAAAUUAGUUAUUAUAUUGAUUAUAUUAUAUUAUAUUAUAUAAAUUAAAAAAAUUAUUAAAAAUAAUUUUAUUAUUGAUAAAUAUUUUUAAAUUGGAUUCAAAUUAUUUAUUAAGAUUUUUUAAACCAAAUUUAGAAUAUAAAUAAUUAGUAGUUAAAACCUCGGUAGUUAAUUAAAUAUCAAUUUAUAAUUUAUUUAUUAAUAAUAGAAAUUAAUUUAAAAAAUAAUAAUUUUUUUAAUCUCUAAAAUAAUAUCUAAUUUAGUCAAUAUAAUAAUUAAUUAUUAUUUUUUUCUAAAAUUGAAUUCUAUUUAAUCAUCAUGAUUUUGAAAUGAAGAAAUUUUACUUCUAAACAUAAUUUUGGAUCAAAUGAAAUUUUUAUACAACCACUUUUUUAAAAAUUAUAUAUUUUUGUAAAUUGAUUUUUUUUUUUAAAUGGAGAAGUGAUUUACAUUGAAAUCAUGUAAGCAUGAACUCAAUUGAAUUUGAAUUUUCUUUUAAACUUUGUUCCAUUUUUUUAAUUAACUGAUUAAUUUUUAUAUAAAAAUGGUUAUUUCAAAAAUUAAAAUGUAUAUAUGUUUUUUAAUUUAAAAUUAAUGUUUGUAUUAAUUUUAAUCUACAAAAUUUUUAAAAAAAUAGUUCAUUACAAAAACCAAACAAAGUUAAAAUUCAAUAUACGAUUUCAUUGUAAUGCAUUUCUCUGUUACGAAAAGAAUUUGAUUUAAAUAAAUAUAUAAUACCUAAAAAUGUACUUGUAUAUAAAAAAAUUUAAAAGUUAUAUUACAAAAAAUUUAGUUAAUUUAAAAUUUUAAAAACUUAAUUUCAAACUCAAUUUAUUUAAAUACGUAAUUUUUUAAAAAUUUAUUAAUGAAAUAGCAUUAUACCAAUUUGAUAUAAUUAAUUAAAAAAAUAAUAUAUUUUAAAAUAAGUAAAUAUAUAUGAUUUUUUAUAAUAAUAUUAACAAAUUAUAUAGUCGUUAUUUUUUAAAGAAAAGUUAUUUAAUUUUUUAUUUUAUUAAAUAAAGAAGUUAUUUUUUGUUUAUUCAACAGUAAAAUUGUUUAAUUGUUUAACUAUUCUAUAUUUUUAAACCUUUUUUGUCAUUUUGCAGGUAAUUUGAUCAUACGGGUAGUUAGUUAUUAAACGAAAUAUAUGUUAUAUAGAUACAGAUAAUAUCUUAUCUUAAAUAAUCUUUUUAAUAGACUAUAGAUAAUCUUGUAUAAUCUUAUUACUAAAAUAUUAUCUUAAAUAAUCUUUUUAACAGAAUAUAUAUUAUCUUAACUAAUCUAGUUUUAUCUUAAAAAAUCUUUUAGAAAAAAUGCAGUUGUUAUUUCCAAUAACAACUUAGUUCCCCUUGAGCUAUAAAUACCAACGAAGAGCAUUGGCAUUGGACAUCGCAAGUUCAUUGAGUAGAACGAAAAGGAGAAAAAAGAGAAAAGAGGAGCAAGAGAUAUAGAACCAGGGGCAACUUUCCAAGAACACAUAUCCAUGGCAAGAAGCUUCUUCCUUGUGCUAUUUGCAGUAGCCACCCUGCUUCAUGGCUCCGCUGCACAGACCAGACACAUGGUGGGUGAUUCCACUGGCUGGACCAUCCCUUCCGACGGUGCUGCAACCUACACCACCUGGGCUUCCGACAAAACCUUCACAUUGGGUGACACUCUUGGUACGUUAAUCUUCCAAAUCUUUCUAUUCAUUGGUUUAUUAUUUAUGUGUUAUUCAAAUUACAAAUUUAUGCAU